rfam:Candidatus Staskawiczbacteria bacterium RIFCSPHIGHO2_01_FTLL_39_25 rifcsphigho2_01_scaffold_7037, whole genome shotgun sequence.
CAUUGCUGGGUAGCUAAGUUGGGAAGGGAUAAGCGCUGAAAGCAUAUAAGCGCGAAACCCACUCCAAGAUGAGAACUCUUAGAUUUCCCGUAGAUGACGGGAUUGAUAGGCCACAGGUGUAAGCGCCGUAAGGCGUUCAGCCGGGUGGUACUAAUAAAUCAUACAUCCUUCGAUA